GCGAGAAUAGCUCAGUUGAUAGAGCGCAACCUUGCCAAGGUUGAGGUCGCGGGUUUGAGCCCCGUUUCUCGCU
rnacentral:tRNA from 1 species